AUUGAACGCUGGCGGCAGGCCUAACACAUGCAAGUCGAACGGUAACAGGAAGAAGCUUGCUUCUUUGCUGACGAGUGGCGGACGGGUGAGUAAUGUCUGGGAAACUGCCUGAUGGAGGGGGAUAACUACUGGAAACGGUAGCUAAUACCGCAUAACGUCGCAAGACCAAAGAGGGGGACCUUCGGGCCUCUUGCCAUCGGAUGUGCCCAGAUGGGAUUAGCUAGUAGGUGGGGUAACGGCUCACCUAGGCGACGAUCCCUAGCUGGUCUGAGAGGAUGACCAGCCACACUGGAACUGAGACACGGUCCAGACUCCUACGGGAGGCAGCAGUGGGGAAUAUUGCACAAUGGGCGCAAGCCUGAUGCAGCCAUGCCGCGUGUAUGAAGAAGGCCUUCGGGUUGUAAAGUACUUUCAGCGGGAGGAAGGGAGUAAAGUUAAUACCUUUACUCAUUGACGUUACCCGCAGAAGAAGCACCGGCUAACUCCGU
rnacentral:rRNA from 1 species